rnacentral:rRNA from 1 species
GACGUAGGGGGCGAGCGUUGUCCGGAUUUAUUGGGCGUAAAGCGUGCGUAGGCGGCUGCGCAAGUCGGGUGUGAAACCCCGGGGCUCAACCCCGGAACUGCAUCCGAUACUGCGUGGCUAGAGGUAGGUAGGGGAGAUCGGAAUUCCUGGUGUAGCGGUGAAAUGCGCAGAUAUCAGGAGGAACACCGGUGGCGAAGGCGGAUCUCUGGGCCGAUACUGACGCUGAGGAGCGAAAGCGUGGGGAGCAAACAGG